CCUCCUGUCCGCGUACACUUCAGCAAGGCUUUCGUCGGCAACGGCUUCUACGGUAGAAGUCUACGGUAGCGUGGUUCCACCUGGCACUUCCCACGCUUCAUGAUCAGGUACAUUGCACAGGCCGGAAGAAAAAAAUGAGAAGCAGAACCAAAAUCUUACUUUGCCACCAAUGCAGCUGAUGAGGAGUGACAGAAAGGAAUACCUAGGAACUAUGCUGUGAGUGCCAUCCGUCUGGCCUUCAUUGCCAUGCUUCUCAUCGGGCUGCCAACUGGGUACGUUGCAGCUUGUUCCACAGUCUUCACAGCCAUCACCCUGCAAUUGCCAAUUCCUGACAUCGUCGACAGUGUACCUUUCUUGGAUGCACCCUCACCUGGCAAGCUCGUUCACUGAAGUUGAACCACAUUUGCAGAGACUCAAGUAAACAACAGCAACUUCAAUAUGCCGCUCAAU